rnacentral:rRNA from 1 species
GAGUUUGAUCUUGGCUCAGGAUGAACGCUAGCGGCAGGCCUAAUACAUGCAAGUCGGACGGGAUUGAAGAGCUUGCUUUUCAUGAGAGUGGCGCACGGGUGCGUAACACGUAUGUAACCUACCCUUGUCAGGGGGAUAGCCUCUCGAAAGAGAGAUUAAGACCGCAUAACAUUAUGAUGUGGCAUCACAAAAUAAUCAAAUAUUUAUAGGACAAGGAUGGGCAUGCGGAACAUUAGCUAGUUGGUAAGGUAACGGCUUACCAAGGCUACGAUGUUUAGGGGAUCUGAGAGGAUGACCCCCACACUGGUACUGAGACACGGACCAGACUCCUACGGGAGGCAGCAGUAAGGAAUAUUGGUCAAUGGGCGGAAGCCUGAACCAGCCAUGCCGCGUGCAGGAAGACGGCCCUAUGGGUUGUAAACUGCUUUUGCAGGGGAAUAAACCUCAUUACGUGUAAUGAGCUGAAUGUACUCUGAGAAUAAGGAUCGGCUAACUCCGUGCCAGCA